rnacentral:snRNA from 1 species
AUAGCUUCUCAGUCUUUUGGCUAAAAUCAAGCCGAUUAUCUGUUCACAUUAACAUCUGUGGCAUCUAUCCGAAAACAUUAUUUUUGGAGCAUUGACCUGGUAUUGCAGUACCUCCAAAAAUGGUGCAUCCUCC